rnacentral:piRNA from 1 species
UUUGAAUAGUUUAUAAAUGCCC